GAUACAUGGAAUUGCUCUUUCUACCAAGGCCUAGCACAGAGCUUUGCCAGGACACAGUGUGGCCAGCUAGAGGAAAGGAACAGGAACCAAAAUGUCUUCAUUUGCAAAGCGCUGGUGGCGCGAUCCAAGCCCAGCAGAGACCCUUUUGCAGAAUGGCAGCCAGUGACAGGCUGCGAGACUGAAAUGUUCUUCAAAGUUUCAAUCACCCAAGGUAAUAGUUUCAUCAGAGAAAGCACUGAGGUUUUUUUGUCACUCAGUUCUUCACUUGAUCCUACAAAUCCUAAAAUCAGUAACCUUUCACCAAACUGUCUGUGAGAAGGAAAAGGUUAUAUCUGACAUGGAGGAAAUGGUGU